UACAGAGGUCUCAAGCGUUGUUCGGAUUCAUUGGGCGUAAAGGGUGCGUAGGCGGCGCGGUAAGUCGGGUGUGAAAUCUCGGGGCUUAACUCCGAAACUGCAUUCGAUACUGCCGUGCUUGAGGACUGGAGAGGAGACUGGAAUUUACGGUGUAGCGGUGAAAUGCGUAGAUAUCGGAAGGAACACCAGUGGCGAAGGCGGCUUCCUGGGCUAAUACUGACACUGAGGUGCGAAAGCGUGGGGAGCAAACAGG
rnacentral:rRNA from 1 species